rnacentral:lncRNA from 1 species
UACUUGAAUGACAUUUAAAUCUGAUUUUGCUAAGAAAUGUAUGAAUUAAAAGUUGGAUUACUUACUUGAUGACAGAGAGGGAUAAACAGAUUCACAUAUCUCUUCGUAUUCUUAUGAUUUCAAGGGAACUUGAAGAGGUCCCUAACACAUCCUUGUGACCAACCUGUGGAAAGAAAUGGAUGAAGAUGGCAUAGCAUAGACAGGCAUGGAUGAAUUGCAAUCCAUAUCAUUGGGAAGGUUAGAAGGAAGAUGCUAUAAUUAUUCCAUAAACUUCACCAGACUGCUAAAGGAUUUCUUAAGGCAAAAAAGAUGAAGAACCUCUCAUAUAAGCAACAAAGGAUAGAUCAAAUCCUGAUUUGUGGAAUUUUCCAGUUUUCAAAGUAUAAAUAUUCAUAUUGGAAAGUUAACAACCAGAUCUGUGAGCCUGUAUAA